GGGCAUAGUCUUGGAAGUGCGAUGGCGACACUGAGUGCUUUCGAUGUUGUGGAAAAUGGGGUGAACGUGGGAAAGGAUGGGAGAAAAGCGCAUGUUUCGGUGUUUUCGUUUUCGGGGCCGAGGGUGGGGAAUGUGAGGUUCAAGGAGAGGUUGGAGAAGGAGCUGGGGAUAAAGGUGCUGAGGGUGCUGAACAAGCAUGACCUUGUAUCGCAGUCGCCGGGGUUGUUCUUCAAUGAGGACUCGCCGCGGUGGUUGGUGAAGCUGGUGGAGUGGUUGCCCUGGUGUUAUUUGCACGUUGGGGAGCAGUUGGAGUUGGAUCACAAGAAAUCACCUUUCUUGAACCCUGAUGCGGAUGUUGCCUGCGCCCAUAACUUGGAGGCUCAAUUGCACUUGCUCGACGGGUACUUUCUUACACUUUCUUCUUCAUUCUUCACUCUUCACUUCAACAACCACACAAAACUCAUCUUCAACAACUCUGCGUCUACACAAAACUCACUUCACCCACUCAUGCAAAAUUUGUGUUUUCAACAGUUUUUACUCAUAAAUCAUCGGUUAGGUUAAAUAAAUUAGAGUGCUAAUAUCUUCAGAAAAAAAUACAGUUAAUACCUUAAUAAAUCAAUAUUUUUCUAUAAGAUAUACUGAUAAUUUGUAAUUUUUUUAUAUAAUCAUAUUAUAACUCUUAAUAAUAUUAUUUUAAUAUUUUUAUAUCAUUUAAUUAUAAAUUUAUAUAUCAUUUUAUAUGUUUAUUAAUAAACUUAUUAUUUGUUUUUUAUAUUUUUUUUUAUAAAUGGUAUACAACUUUAAAAAUUAUACAAUUAUAUAUAUAUUUUUUUUACUUUUGACUGUAUCCAAUAAACUUUUCUCAAUAAAUUAUGACAGCUAGAAAUUAAAAAGACAUCACCCUGCUACCUACUUUAGGAACCAAAAGACAUCUUUCAGCGAAACACUUUAUAACCUCAAGAAAUAGUAUAAUAAUAUUUUAUAUUAAAAAUGAAAAAUAAAUUAAAUAUAAUUAAAAUAUUAAUUUAAUGGAUUAUGUUUAUGUGAAGAAUGUGAAUGUAUAGUACUCUCUUUUUACUAUAUUAUAUUUCUUUCUCUUCCUUUGCAGGGUUGGAAACAAGAAAGUUUACAAUUUAAUUAAUUGAAAAAUAAUGAAAUAUUUUCAAUAAUUAAAUAUAAAUUAAUUGAGUCUCAAUCCAACCAAUCAGUUUUUCUAAAGAUUGACUGUUUUUUAGUGAUGUAUGGGUCUAUUAGAGGAUGUGAGUAAUAGAUAGAGAAUAUUUAAAAGAUGUGAAGAAUCCAUAUAACGAUAAAAUGAUAUUUUCAAAGAUGUGAUGUCUUGUUUUUGUCUUGUUUGUGUCGUCAUACACAUGCCAACAGCUGUUAAUAUUCUGAGUUAUGGAGGGUGUCAGCAGGACCAUGCCUCGUGACUAAUUCAGAAGAUAUGUUUUAUUAUCUAUAUUUCUAUCAUCGUUCUAUUUAUUCCACAUAAUAAACAAAAUUAUUUUAUUAUUCUAUUAUUUAUCACAUACAUAUUAUUUACUCUCUUUUUUUCUGUAGCCGUUUCUUCCACGUCUGGUUAGAUGAAAAUGAUUUAGGAAGAUAUUUUAUAAAUAAAAAUAUUAAAUAUGAUGAUCUGAUAAGAAAGGUUUGAUCAUGCGCAGAUACCAUGGAAAGAAUGAUGCAUUCAAGAGAACGAGUUUGAGGGACAUUGCUUUGGUGAACAAGGCUUGCGACUUCUUGAAGGACGAGCAUUCGGUGCCACCAUACUGGAGGCAAGACCUGAACAAGAACAUGACCAAGACUGAAGAAGGAACGUGGGUGUUCAGUGAGCGUCCAAUAUCUCUAGAUUCACACCAUGAUAUUGAUCCCCAUCUCGGCGAACUAGGCAUCCUUUCUUCUGAUCAAUCAAUCAAUCAGCAGUGAUUAAGGAUCACACUCUAUCU
rnacentral:lncRNA from 1 species